GGAAGGAGUCAUGCUGUUGGAGGAAUGAAGAAGUACAAAGCCAUAUGAGGUGCAUGGAAGGAGGUCCUGAGUGGUCUCGGUGCCACUAGAUGGGACAGAACACCACACACAGGAGGUGUGUGGGUUACACUUUACCUUGGAAUGAAAUUGCCAACCUUAAAAAAGCUCCAACUAGUUCAGAAGAGAGUAGCUCACUUACUCAGCAACAGGGGCCACUGAGAUCACAUCAUCCUGGUGCUGCUGUGCUCUUUUCCCUAGAUCACCACUGAAUAACACGUUGUAGUCAAGGUUUUUAUCAUCAGGGCUGGGCAAGCAGGGGAGUUGCCCUGAGCAACCCCUUUCAGGGGACACUACAUUGUUAUGCCGUCAAAAAUGUUUUCCACCUGGACAGCAAAAUGACUAGGACCAGCCUCCUGUUUAUAAUCUUCUUUAAAGCUCUCCAUGGGACUAACCCAAGUUACUGCUCCAUCCUGUGUGAUCAUUGUUUGUUUGUGUUACACUAAGCAUAUAGAGGCUCCAACUGAGAUUUAGGCCUCCUUUUGUACUAGGCACUGUGUACAGACAUAAUGAGACAGUCUCUGUCCUGGAGAGCUCAUAAUCUAACAAUGAGCGGGAGAAAGGAAGAAUUAUAACCCUAGUCUGCAGACAGCAAACUGAGGUACAGAGACAUUAAGUGACUUGCCAUGUCACUCAAGAAGUGUGUGGUAGAAUGGGGAUUGAGCCUAGGUUUCUUGAGUCCUCAUCCAGAUCUUAAGCACAAGGCUAUCCUUCUGCUCACAAGCACCACUGAUAGCUAUUUUCUGCUGGAACAAUGGAACUUGCAUCCUCAAGGAAAAAACCUAUGUAUCCAGAAGACAGGACUGUUUUAGCAACUGGUCUGCAACUGUGGCUUCCAUGAACCUCAGGGCUUUCAGAACAAAAUGCAAGAUCUAUUUAUUUUACAGAGCCUUGCCACAGUAAUCCCACCAGAAUCUCAUAUUUAAAACAACAACAAAAAAAGUCCCUACAGAAUGGAAGAAAGAGACAGAAAAAGAUAGAGAUCUUCUUGUAUUUACAAACAUAAAUUUGUAAGGUAUUCAGAUACAAUAAGAAUUGGCAUCAUGUAAGAAGACAGAUAGAUGUUCUGCCAUUAUAAUUUAAUUUGUUUCAAUACACUUUCUAUUGCCAGUGUUAUCUCUUAUCUAGGAAAUGUCGUACUAAAUUACUAUUCAAGAUUCCUUUUGCAUGUCUUACAAUUCUUUCUCUUCCUGGUGAUAUCUGGGAGCAUCUUUCAAAGUUCUCCUAAAACAGGUUAACACAAUAUUCUUUGCAUCUUUUAUUGUGAGUUUUUAUGCAUUUCCGGUGGCAGUAGGCCUACACAUCAUAGGCAAAAGAGAUUAGAUUAAAUGUGACUAUCAAACACUUCUCUGUAGGUGGGCCUGAUCCUACCCUGCCCUUUAUUUAAAUGGGAGCAGUAUUAAGCUUAAUAUUUGUACCAUAUAGAAAAAUUUUCAUUCCGUAAUACAAGGGAUGGCAAAUCAAAUUAGAGGUAAUACAUUUAAAAAGGAUCAAAGGAAGUAAUCUUAUAUGCAACAUGUAACUCCAUUGUGAAACUAAAUGGACUUGUGAUAUAAGGAACAAAAGAGAGAAGUCAAUGUUGACGUUGUCCUUUUCUGCUAGGAAAAGAAAGGGAACUGCAAAACUGUACAGUAAUUUAUAAGAUUUAGGAAUGUAUUGAAGGUUUAUUAUAUUUUCACUGAGGUAAGACUAAAUGAUCCUCUGAAAUUUGAGCUGGAAUAGAGAAAAUGAUAAAAACAAUUGAUUCUUUGUAAGUAGAUAAAUGAGUGUGUUCAUAUUUUGUGUGUUCAUUACUUACAACAUUUACACAUUUAUGAAUAAGUAUGGCAGAUCUGUUUAUAUGCAUUGAUUAGCUGUAUGUUCUUUCAGUAACUCUUCCUGUCAUACUUGCCUGUACUGUACUUUUGGUCUGUCACCUAAAUGAUUACAUAACUGUUAAUACCUUCCCUUUUGGGGAAUAAAUUUAGUGUUUGUGA